ensembl:lncRNA
CACAGUCAGAACCGCAAGGACCACAAAGUUGAUGUUCUGAGUCUCCAAGCCAAACACAGCUGAGGCUUCUCAGUCAGCCGCAUUCCUUCCACCCAGCUGUGGCCAGCUUGGACCUGGCCUUGCCACCAUUGUCCUGGUCCCUGGGAUCCCAGGACUCCUGCCCGACAAGGCUGGAGGAUUGGAGGAGAGUCCCCCUUGUCUCUGUGCACCCUGACGCUUGUCCCCUGCUUGUGAUCUUCACACAUGGACACUGGCCUGAGAGAGUCAACACCUGCCCACGUAUCAAUUCUCAUCUGAGGGGUGCAGCACGACAGACACCCCAGCCCAAGCAGGUCCCACUGAGCUCACCUCCUCCCGGCCCUGCUCCCUGCGGCAGGGGUGUGAGCCGGCCCUCCCCCAUCAGCCCUGACAGUCAGCCUGGACAAUCAGUCAUCAGCUUGAAGAGCUGAAUCUGAACAUAAAGACGAAACUCCAGUUGGGACGUGAUCACCUACUUUGCCCUCGUGGCCGCCUCUCUGGCGCUGUGUGAAGCUUUGUGCUAAAGCAAGGGUCCCCAGCCUCCGGGGGCCAAUGCCUGAUGAUCGGAGGUGGGGCUGAUGUAGGAAUAACUGCACAAUAAGUGUAAUACACGUGAAUCAUCCAGAAGCCAUCCCCCACCCACACCAUCCAGGGAAAAGUUGUCUUCCACGAAAGCAGUCCCUGGUGCCAGCAAGGUUGGGGACCACUGUGCUAAUAAAGGACAGCACCUUCCAGCGAUGCCCGCUGAGCACUGACCCCCUGAGUCCUCGGGACGGAGCCCAGGGCAGCCCUUCUGGGUGCGUUCUCUGACGUGUGGUGCACCAGGCACCCCCAGGCUGAGGCUGCAGCAGGAUGACACAUGCCAGCAUGGUGCCCCCAGGGCAUCUGGAACCAAGUGCAGCCACCUCAUGCUGCUCCCUGCAGGAUGCAGGACGUCUACGUGGAGCAAAGGCCGAAGAGAAGACCGUCUCCAGGAGGAAGCGUGUCUGCUCAGAAAGGGGGUGGCUGGAGGCUCUGAGAGUGGAAUUCUGAAGUGUGAUGGCCACCACGGGAAACUGCCUUCUUGCUCCAUGGGACCUGGACCGUAGCUGGUCUCAGCCGCAGGCAGAAGGCAGAAAAACCGCAGGCGUCACUCCAGGACAUCCUGUGCACUGGGCCUGACCCCGCUCGGUCUGCUUGGCUAGGCCGCAUUAGGGGGUCUGCUUUGAGCUUAGGGGCAUUCAGCCUGUCUUGAAGGGGCUUUGGG